UACCAGCACCCCGAGUGGUCGGGACGAUUAUUGGGCCUAAAGCAUCCGUAGCCGGUUCUACAAGUCUUCGGUUAAAUCCACCUGCUUAACAGAUGGGCUGCGGAGGAUACUAUGGAGCUAGGAGGCGGGAGAGGCAAGCGGUACUUAGUGGGUAGGGGUAAAAUCCGUUGAUCCAUUGAAGACCACCAGUGGCGAAGGCGGCUUGCCAGAACGCACUCGACGGUGAGGGAUGAAAGCUGGGGGAGCAAACCGG
rnacentral:rRNA from 1 species